AUUCUAGUCAUGAGUGCAUCUGUGUAAGUUGUUAUUGGAAGCCCAUGAUCUAUGCUCAGAGGUUAAAGAGAGCACAGCAGAUAGGUGUACAACUCUGGUGCUGUAGCUGGAAAGGCCGAUAGGAGAAGAUCAUGUCAGAAGUGAGUCCUAGCAAAGCCACGGAAAUACCUGAACAAUUAGUGAAGUUCUGAGGCUGGUUCUAGCAGGGUAAUGAUCCAAAAGAAGGUGGAAAGAAAGCAUAAAGAAGCAAGGACAGAAAGGAGUCCUUAGCAGUUCGCCCUGCAGAUUUCAAGGGCUAUUCUGAGAACACUCACUAGAGCCUUAAGGAAGAGGUGCAUGAUGUCCAGCAACCUUAAAUAUCUUGCUCCCGCCAAUGCUCCUCCCUGCCAGCUUACAUUCAAGAGAGAACCAAGAAAGAAAGAAGAACCACCAGAACUGGCCACUGGGCACACAAGAGUCUCCAAGCAAUUACUAAAGAAUGGACAAAUUUCAGUUCCCAGAAGACCAGGAGCCAUGUGUGUUCUCUCUUCAUGGGUAGUUCAGAUAAACAAAUGUAAUGGUUCCAGAGCAAGGAUUUCACAAUGCUAACAACCGUGGACAUCAAAAAAGAACAGCAUUUAUGGUCGGCGACGUCUGGAACGGGAGUGUUAGCUCUUCCACAUCAUUUCCAGGUGGGCACGCUGUGCUCCAACGCACAAUCUCCCCCCAUUGCAUUCCCACUGGGUGUGCUGUGUUCCACUCAGGACCCGACUUUUAUUUAAAAAAAUAAAUAAAUAAAAAAGACCGUCUGCUUGAAGUGACUUUAUUAAUUCAUUUUGCUGUAUUUCUUGACAUGCC
ensembl:lncRNA